rnacentral:lncRNA from 1 species
CUACAGCAACAAAGUGCUGAAGACAAGUUCCUGAAGUGGGCACUUCAGAGCUGUAGGUGAAACUGUGUUUCUUCUUCUUCCUCUUCGACUUUGGCCCCAUAAAUCCAUUUUGUGUACUUUUGUCCUCCAUUUAGCCCCAUAACUUUUGAUUGUGCAUUCCAGCCCAUGUAAAUGCAAUAUGUACAAAUGCAACACAUAAUGACACUUAAAUACAGUUCCUAAACACUAAAAUGACCAAAAUAAAGAGUUAAAACAUGUAAAAACAUGUAAAAACACUAUACAGUAACUCCCCAAAACUUGCUUCUUUACUUUUCCUCAAGUAAACUUUCCUCAACAACCCAAUGUCCUUCAAAGUAGUUAUAAAUUGCAUCACCUAAACAAUCUAUCAAUAUGAUUCAUCAUUGGCAACACAACUCAAACUUUACUCUAGAAACCAAGACCAAAUUGAACUCAAGCAAUAACCUCAAAGCAACUCCCUACAUUCAUUUUAGAUAUUAAGUGCAGUCUUGCAAAGGGAGUAUCAAUCAUUCUCAUU